AACGCAUAUUGCGCCCAGUAGUAUUCUACUGGGCAUGCCUAUUCGAGCGUCAUUUCAACCCUUACGCCCUGUAGCGUAGUGUUAGGACUCUACUCUUUCGAGAGCAGUUCCCCAAAACCAGUGGCAGUGUUCGGUACACUCAUAGCGUAGUAAUUCUUCUCGCUUCUGCAGUGGCCCGUACUAUUCGCCGUAAAACCCCCUAUUUUCUAAUGGUUGACCUCGGAUUAGGUAGGAAUACCCGCUGAACUUAA
rnacentral:misc_RNA from 1 species